rnacentral:rRNA from 1 species
GAUGAACGCUGGCGGCGUGCCUAAUACAUGCAAGUCGAGCGAAUGGAUUAAGAGCUUGCUCUUAUGAAGUUAGCGGCGGACGGGUGAGUAACACGUAGGUAACCUGCCCAUAAGACUGGGAUAACUCCGGGAAACCGGGGCUAAUACCGGAUAACAUUUUGAACCGCAUGGUUCGAAAUUGAAAGGCGGCUUCGGCUGUCACUUAUGGAUGGACCCGCGUCGCAUUAGCGAGUUGGUGAGGUAACGGCUCACCAAGGCAACGAUGCGUAGCCGGCAUGAGAGGGUGGUCGGCCACGCUGGGACUGAGAGACGGCCGAGACUCCAGCGGGAGGGAGCAGUAGGGAAUCUUCCGCAAUGGACGAAAGUCUGGGGGAGCAACGCCGCGGGAGUGAUGAAGGCUUUCGGGUCGUAAAACUCUGUUGUUAGGGAAGAACAAGUGCUAGUUGAAUAAGCUGGCACCUUGACGGUACCUAACCAGAAAGCCACGGCUAACUACGUGCCAGCAGCCGCCGUAA